CGGGUGCACUGAUCCAGCCGGGCCUUUCCCUCUGUGGAACCCCAUGGCCUUCACUGGCUGUGGUGGGGAAACAGGACUUUUACUUUGAAAAAAUUAGAGUGCUCCAGGCAGGCCUAUGCUCGAAUACAUUAGCAUGGAAUAAUAGAAUAGGACGUGUGGUUCUAUUUUGUUGGUUUCUAGGACCGCCGUAAUGAUUAAUAGGGACAGUCGGGGGCAUCAGUAUUCAAUUGUCAGAGGUGAAAUUCUUGGAUCUAUUGAAGACUAACUACUGCGAAAGCAUUUGCCAAGGAUGUUUUCAUUGAUAAGGAACGAAAGUUAGGGGAUCGAAGACGAUCAGAUACCGUCGUAGUCUUAACUAUAAACUAUGCCGACUAGGGAUCGGACGAUGUUAUUCUUUGACGCGUUCGGCACCUUUCGAGAAAUCAAAGUGCUUGGGCUCCAGGGGGGAGUAUGGUCGCAAGGCUGAAACUUAAAGAAAUUGACGGAAGGGCACCACCAGGGGUGGAACCUGCGGCUUAAUUUGACUCAACACGGGGAAACUCACCAGGUCCAGACACAGUGAGGAUUGACAGAUUGAGAGCUCUUUCUUGAUUCUGUGGGUGGUGGUGCAUGGCCGUUCUUAGUUGGUGGAGUGAUUUGUCUGCUUAAUUGCGAUAACGAACGAGACCUUAACCUGCUAAAUAGCCCGUACUGCUUUGGCAGUUCGCCGGCUUCUUAGAGGGACUAUCGG
rnacentral:rRNA from 1 species